UACGGGGGGGGGCAAGCGUUGCUCGGAAUCACUGGGCGUAAAGGGUGCGUAGGCGGGUCUUUUAAGUCAGGGGUGAAAUCCUGGAGCUCAACUCCAGAACUGCCUUUGAUACUGAAGAUCUUGAGUUCGGGAGAGGUGAGUGGAACUGCGAGUGUAGAGGUGAAAUUCGUAGAUAUUCGCAAGAACACCAGUGGCGAAGGCGGCUCACUGGCCCGAUACUGACGCUGAGGCGCGAAAGCGUGGGGGAGCAAACAGGAUUGAAACCCAACC
rnacentral:rRNA from 1 species